AAUGGGGUUUUCCUUAUCUU
rnacentral:snRNA from 1 species